UACGUAGAAGACUAGUGUUAUUCAUCUUUAAUAGGUUUAAAGGGUACCUAGACGGUAUAAUUAGUCUUAAACAGGAUACGAUUAUACUAGAGUUAUAUAUGAGGAGGUGAGUAUUUAUGUAGUAGAGUUGAAAUUCGUUGAUAGCAUAACGACUGGUAACGGCGAAAGCAACCUUUUAUCUAAUAACUGACGUUGAGGGACGAAGGCUCGGGUAACGAACAGG
rnacentral:rRNA from 1 species